rnacentral:rRNA from 1 species
GACGAACGCUGGCGGCGUGCCUAAUACAUGCAAGUCGAACGCAUUUUCUUUCACCGUAGCUUGCUACACCGAAAGGAAAUGAGUGGCGAACGGGUGAGUAACACGUGGGUAACCUGCCCAUCAGCGGGGGAUAACACUUGGAAACAGGUGCUAAUACCGCAUAAUUCCAUUUACCGCAUGGUAGAUGGAUGAAAGGCGCUUUUGCGUCACUGAUGGAUGGACCCGCGGUGCAUUAGCUAGUUGGUGGGGUAACGGCCUACCAAGGCUGCGAUGCAUAGCCGACCUGAGAGGGUGAUCGGCCACACUGGGACUGAGACACGGCCCAGACUCCUACGGGAGGCAGCAGUAGGGAAUCUUCGGCAAUGGACACAAGUCUGACCGAGCAACGCCGCGUGAGUGAAGAAGGUUUUCGGAUCGUAAAACUCUGUUGUUAGAGAAGAACAAGGAUGAGAGUGGAAAGUUCAUCCCUUGACGGUAUCUAACCAGAAAGCCACGGCUAACUACGUG